rnacentral:tRNA from 1 species
GGCGGGGUAGCUCAGCUGGUUAGAGCGCACGACUCAUAAUCGUGAGGUCGCGGGUUCGAGUCCCGCCCUCGCUA